GUUUGGUAGUUCCUGAGCUCUUGUUCUGUGUCCAAGAAGAAUAAGGAUACUCUGAUAGUUGAAGGGUGAGGAUGGGCAGAGAAGAAUUCGAGUGGACCAGCUCUCAGUGUAGAGUGAGAAUAUCUCUGAAGAAACAAACAAAAAAUGCUGCUAGACAUUCAUAACUAAAGCUUUAGAUUUGACGGUGAACUAUGUUUUAAUAUUUCUUAUAAUUGCCUUAGGGAAUGUGGCUCAGGAAGUCGUAUUCAUAUUGUCACUUCCGACAUUGUUGGAAACCACUUCCCCCAGUUUGAACCAGACUUGGAUUUAAAACUUCGCCGUACUCUCUGAACAUUGGAGGUAAUACCUCAGCAAAAUAAAAUAUUUAACAUUCUGUGGUUAUGACUGUGUCUUAGGGAAUUGCUGUAUGUUAUGGCCUGCCUACCCUUAAAAGGCAAUGUCUUCAGAGCAUGUUGAAAGCCUGGAAGUAGAGCAUCAAGGUCGUUGAAAGAAUAUCAAGAAGCCUAGACCAGAGAUCAGCACACUUUUUUUUUGUUUGUGGUGACCCAUACAAUCUCUGGGAUACCUAUUCAACUCUGUUGCAGCACAAAAGCAGCAUUUAGUAAUACAUAACACAUGGCCAUCACUGAACUCCAACAAACUUUAUUUAUAAAAAUAUAUAGCCAACAGAAUAUAGCAUGAUGGCUACAGUUUGUGAAUCCUAGGUCUAGACUCCUGCCCACAGUGUGUUUGUAGUACAAUUAGGCAGGCAUGGAAGCAUGUAAAGAGAAAAAAGCAAAAGCAUAAGGAAAAAGAAACCUUCGGUAUAGAUAAUAAGAUGUGCAAAAGUU
rnacentral:lncRNA from 1 species